UGGAAACCAUGAAGUAGAGAUAAUCGGGUGCUGAAUGUUGUAUGAUUGGAAAUUUUUAUUAUGUAAGUUAUGUAAUCAAUCUAAGUAUUUUUUUUAAAAGGAGAGCAUCAUAAAAUUACACUCCAG
rfam:Ailuropoda melanoleuca scaffold3642_2, whole genome shotgun sequence.